ACGGGCCACCCAGCAGGUGAGUGAGUUUUAGGGGAGCACUGCCUGGGGCCUCCCCAAAGCAGGAAGCAGCGUUCCAGCCCUCCAUCCAACUUCGGGUGGGAAAGACUCUGGCUUCCAGCACUCUGUCUCCUUCACACAGGUCAAACCUUAAGUGGCAAAUAUGAAUGAAUAAAUAAAGAAAUAAAAAUAAAUAAACAAACCUUGGUUAUCACUCAGGAUGCUAGCCACACAACAAGGCAAACAAAAUAAAAUGAACAGAAUAAAUAAAUGAAGAGGAUGACUUUCAAGACCCGACUCACACUCCCCAUUACAUUAAGUGGGACUGGGGAGAGUGGAUGGGAGUUAGGAGCUGGUGGGGAGGGUCAGCAGUGGCCAGAAGUCCCUGGGUCAUUGGGUGAAAGUCCCUUGACCUCAGUGGUCCCAGUCUCCACCCCCAGCUGUGCUAUGGGGAGUAGGAGGAGCUACACCUGGCACCCAGGGGACUGUGUAUCCUGAACCGGAAGAAAAGAGAACAGGACCCCACUGAGUGGCUCUGAAACCAGAAGGAUAUCAGGUGCCUUGGGCACCCAGCCCUCCUGGAGGACCAGCCCAGCCCAUGCCAUCAGGCUCUGUCCAGCAGGUGCCUGCAGGACCCAGGUGAGAUACCCAGCCAAUUGGGGGGGUCCAGGGCCUAGCAGAGGACGAAAGGGUGUCAUAAGGGCUUGCUCUCCAGAAGCAACACCAUGAAGACCAAAAGAGAUGCAAGUUGAAGGCGCCCACGGCACGCUCUGACUGCACCCUGCCCUUUUCUGGCCUUACAAACAUGCACCUCAUAUUUACAUACGUGCCUAGAUUCCACCUUCAAGGACAAAGACUGUGAAUAAAAAGCAAUAUUUUAGUCAAACAUUUCUGUGUCAAUUAAGAUGACGGCAAUUCGUUCCAGUCUAUAAAUUCUCUUUAACAAUC